UGCAGACUUACCCCACAUCCCUGUGGUCUGUGGAAGCUUUAUUACUGAAUUCAAUCACAGGAAUCUCGGCUGCAGCAAAGGAAUUGUAGUAACCCAGUCAGCUGAGGAUUGCAGUGAAUGAGACCAGCAAAGGUCUGAGCUUCAAUUCUGUAAGAUCUUGGAAGAUGUGGCUUCUUAUUCACAGAUUAAAAAUCAGUGGCAGCAGCAUAGGAUUUUUCACUUAGAAUUCACCUGUGGGAAACAAACAUUCUUCUGAUGUCAGUGUCAGUUUGAGGCUGAAGAAUAA
rnacentral:lncRNA from 1 species